ensembl:rRNA 5S_rRNA 5S ribosomal RNA
GUCUACGGCCAUGCCACCCUGAACACAUCCGAUCCUGUCUGAUUUCAGAAGCUAGGCAAGGUUGGGCCUGGUUAGUACUUGGAUGGGAGACCACCUAGGAAGACCGGGUGCUGUAAGCA